GCUGGGUGUGGUGGCGCAUGCCUGUAAUCCCAGCUACUCGGGAGGCUGAGGCAGGAGAAUUGCUUGAACCCAGGAGAUGGAGAUUGCAGUGAGCCGACAUUGCGACACUGCACUACAGCCUGGGUGACAGAGCAAGCCUCUGUCUCAA
ensembl:misc_RNA Metazoa_SRP Metazoan signal recognition particle RNA